UGACCCUUUUUAAGCCGAGGGUCACCUAGCCAACUGACGUUGUUAGUGAAUGCAUUUUGUUCACACAAUAUAUAAGCCAAUCGACUUUUGCGAUUGGCUCUUUUUUU
rnacentral:sRNA from 1 species